rnacentral:rRNA from 1 species
AACGAACGCUGGCGGCAUGCCUAACACAUGCAAGUCGAACGAUACCUUCGGGUCUAGUGGCGCACGGGUGCGUAACGCGUGGGAACCUGCCCUUAGGUUCGGAAUAACUCCCCGAAAGGGGUGCUAAUACCGGAUAAUGUCUUCGGACCAAAGAUUUAUCGCCUUUGGAUGGGCCCGCGUUGGAUUAGCUAGUUGGUAGGGUAAAAGCCAACCAAGGCGACGAUCCAUAGCUGGUCUGAGAGGAUGAUCAGCCACACUGGGACUGAGACACGGCCCAGACUCCUACGGGAGGCAGCAGUGGGGAAUAUUGGACAAUGGGCGAAAGCCUGAUCCAGCAAUGCCGCGUGAGUGAUGAAGGCCUUAGGGUUGUAAAGCUCUUUUACCCGGGAUGAUAAUGACAGUACCGGGAGAAUAAGCUCCGGCUAACUCCGUG